GUCUGCCUGCCCGUGGUAUAUGACUUAACGGCCGCGGUAUUUUGACCGUGCAAAGGUAGCGCAAUCACUUGUCUAUUAAAUGUAGACCUGUAUGAAUGGCAAGACGAGGGCUAAACUGUCUCCUUUUUCAAGUCAAUGAAAUUGAUUUCCCCGUGCAGAAGCGGGGAUAGACCCAUAAGACGAGAAGACCCUGUGGAGCUUAAGACACAAACAGCCCAUGUUAAGCCCUUCCCUUAAAGAAAUUAAACUUAAUGUGACCCUGUUUCGUGUCUUUGGUUGGGGCGACCACGGAGAAACAAAUAACCUCCACGCAGAAUAACAACACAGUUGUCUCAUCCUAGAGCCGCAGCUCCUUACAACAGAACCUCUGACCUUAUAGAUCCGGCAGUGCCGAUUAACGGACCGAGUUACCCCAGGGAUAACAGCGCAAUUCCCUUUUAGAGCCCAUAUCGACAAGGGAGUUUACGACCUCGAUGUUGGAUCAGGACAUCCUAAUGGUGCAACCGCUAUUAAGGGCUCGUUUGUUCAACGAUUAACAGUCCUACGUGAUCUG
rnacentral:rRNA from 1 species